rnacentral:misc_RNA from 1 species
GAUGAAGAACGUAGCGAAAUGCGAUAAGUAAUGUGAAUUGCAGAAUUCAGUGAAUCAUCGAAUCUUUGAACGCACCUUGCGCUCCUUGGCAUUCCGAGGAGCAUGCCUGUUUGAGUGUCAUUAAAUUCUCAAGACCUGUCUGCUUUUUUGAUAGGUAUUGGAUUUUGGGGGUUGCAGGCUGUUUCAAAUAAAUAGCCUUGCUCUCCUUGAAUGUAUUAGUGGAGAAAAGCCAUUGAACUCCAUUGGUGUGAUAAAACCUAUCAAUGCCAGGAGCAAUAUCACUACUUCUCUCUGCUGUCUAACUUUGACUGUCUGUAUUAAUUAGUAUGGAUGGGGACAACUUGACCAACUUGACCUCAAAUCAGGUAGGACUACCCGCUGAACUUAAGCAUAUCAAUAAGCGGAGGA